rnacentral:rRNA from 1 species
UACGUAGGGGGCAAGCGUUGUCCGGAUUUAUUGGGCGUAAAGAGCGUGUAGGCGGCCAGGUAGGUCUGCUGUGAAAACUCGAGGCUCAACCUCGAGACGCCGGCGGAAACCAUCUGGCUAGAGUCCGGAAGAGGAGAGUGGAAUUCCUGGUGUAGCGGUGAAAUGCGUAGAUAUCGAGAGGAACACCUGCGGCGAAGGCGAGUCUCUGGACAGUUACUGACGCUGAGGCACGAAGGCCAGGGGAGCAAACGGG